rnacentral:rRNA from 1 species
GACGAACGCUGGCGGCGUGCUUAACACAUGCAAGUCGAACGGAAAGGCCCUGCUUUUGUGGGGUGCUCGAGUGGCGAACGGGUGAGUAACACGUGAGUAACCUGCCCUUGACUUUGGGAUAACUUCAGGAAACUGAGGCUAAUACCGGAUAGGAGCUCCUGCUGCAUGGUGGGGGUUGGAAAGUUUCGGCGGUUGGGGAUGGACUCGCGGCUUAUCAGCUUGUUGGUGGGGUAGUGGCUUACCAAGGCUUUGACGGGUAGCCGGCCUGAGAGGGUGACCGGCCACAUUGGGACUGAGAUACGGCCCAGACUCCUACGGGAGGCAGCAGUGGGGAAUAUUGCACAAUGGGCGGAAGCCUGAUGCAGCAACGCCGCGUGCGGGAUGACGGCCUUCGGGUUGUAAACCGCUUUCGCCUGUGACGAAGCGUGAGUGACGGUAAUGGGUAAAGAAGCACCGGCUAACUACGUGCCAGCAGCCGCGGUGAUACGUAGGGUGCGAGCGUUGUCCGGAUUUAUUGGGCGUAAAGGGCUCGUAGGUGGUUGAUCGCGUCGGAAGUGUAAUCUUGGGGCUUAACCCUGAGCGUGCUUUCGAUACGGGUUGACUUGAGGAAGGUAGGGGAGAAUGGAAUUCCUGGUGGAGCGGUGGAAUGCGCAGAUAUCAGGAGGAACACCAGUGGCGAAGGCGGUUCUCUGGGCCUUUCCUGACGCUGAGGAGCGAAAGCGUGGGGAGCGAACAGGCUUAGACACCCUGGUAGUCCACGCUGUAAACGGUGGGUACUAGGUGUGGGGUCCAUUCCACGGGUUCCGUGCCGUAGCUAACGCUUUAAGUACCCCGCCUGGGGAGUACGGCCGCAAGGCUAAAACUCAAAGGAAUUGGCGGGGCCCCGCACAAGCGGCGGAGCAUGCGGAUUAAUUCGAUGCAACGCGUAGAACCUUACCUGGGUUUGACAUGGAUCGGGAGUGCUCAGAGAUGGGUGUGCCUCUUUUGGGGUCGGUUCACAGGUGGUGCAUGGCUGUCGUCAGCUCGUGUCGUGAGAUGUUGGGUUAAGUCCCGCAACGAGCGCAACCCUUGUUCACUGUUGCCAGCACGUUAUGGUGGGGACUCAGUGGAGACCGCCGGGGUCAACUCGGAGGAAGGUGGGGAUGACGUCAAGUCAUCAUGCCCCUUAUGUCCAGGGCUUCACGCAUGCUACAAUGGCUGGUACAGAGAGUGGCGAGCCUGUGAGGGUGAGCGAAUCUCGGAAAGCCGGUCUCAGUUCGGAUUGGGGUCUGCAACUCGACCUCAUGAAGUCGGAGUCGCUAGUAAUCGCAGAUCAGCAACGCUGCGGUGAAUACGUUCCCGGG